UAUACGAUGAAGAGUUUGAUCCUGGCUCAGGAUGAACGCUAGCGGCAGGCCUAACACAUGCAAGUCGAGGGGUAU
rnacentral:rRNA from 1 species